CACACAGUCAAUCACCAGGAUACAACCACACUUUACACCAUCUUGUUCCUCCCAUCAGGAGUUGCACAUUGCCGUGGACUCACUCACAUGUGCACACUUUAAAACUUGACUGCACUGUCUCUUUUAAUACACAUCUAUGCCUGGUGAGCUUUAAUAGUCAGCAUUUUUCUAGGAACACACCUAAAACUCUGUGGAUAAAGCUAUGGCUCUACUCUUAUAUCGUUUUAUUGUCCUCUGUAUGUCUGUAUCGCUUGUUGCAGUGACUGAUGAAAGUUCAGUAACUGAAAACCCAGUAAAUACAACUAAUAUGAAUGUAACACAACAAACAGGUGAUGGUGCUAAACCAACACAGACGCCAGACAACGGGCUCACAAUGUUAGCCUUUGGUGUGAUGAGCUUCAUUCUCAUUUUGAUCAUUGUUAUGGUGAUCUUGGUAACAGCUGUUAACUUCAGAGGACAGUGCGCUAAUACAAAGGAAGAGGACACAGAUUCACUGCGGAUCUCCUCCAUUUACAGUGCAGCACUGGACAACGAAGACCAAUAGCUCAGAAUCAGAGUAGGACUGAUUCAAUUCACUGAACAAAGCUGCCUUUUCAAGCUACUUUUCAGCAAUAACAGACCACAGUAUUAUUAAAAUGACACAGUUCUACAUUGUUGUACAAUUUGUCUCACAUUUGCAAUUUUUUUAUGCAAAAUUAAAUGAGCACAAAGAAUAAGCUAAUGAACGGUGAAUGUGUGAUGUCUGAAUAUUCUUUUUAAACAGCUCACUGGACAACUCCAAUGACCUCUAUUCCUCUAACCGCUUUAGUCUAGACUCAGUGUGAAAAUAAGAGAUAAUAAAGCUUGG
ensembl:lncRNA